rnacentral:rRNA from 1 species
ACGCUGGCGGUAGGCUUAAUACAUGCAAGUCGAGCGGUAACAGACAUUUUGAUUUUGCUUGCAAAAUCUCGUGCUGACGAGCGGCGAACGGGUGAGUAACGCGUAGGAAUCUACCUAGUAGAAGGGGAUAGCCCGAGGAAACUCGGAUUAAUACCGUAUACGUCCUUAGGGAGAAAGAGGGCUUAGCUUUGAUGCUCUCGCUAUUAGAUGAGCCUGCGUAAGAUUAGCUUGUUGGUGAGGUAAAAGCUCACCAAGGCGACGAUCUUUAGCUGGUCUGAGAGGACGAUCAGCCACAUUGGGACUGAGACACGGCCCAGACUCCUACGGGAGGCAGCAGUGGGGAAUAUUGGACAAUGGGCGCAAGCCUGAUCCAGCCAUACCGCGUGUGUG